UGAAAAGAAAGGCAGCAGAAAGAAGAAAAAAUUCUUAUGAGAUCUGUGCCUUUUCUCCAUCAAAUUGAAGCAUCUGUCACUAAUUGGAUCAGCACUGACACAGCUGCAACUCAUUUGAGUCCUCCUGGUGGUUUUCCUAUUUAAGGCGGGUCCAGUGAGCAGGUCAUCGCUGAUACAUCGCUUCCUAUGGUGAAACUUGCCUGAAGAUCCUCAGGACUCUUGGACCUGUUAACCACCYGCCUCUAUCAACRUCACUCACCAGAAAACCAACGCUGUUGUCUGUCUGCCUCCAACGUUCACCUGUGAAUAACUUGAGAACUCACCUACCUGAAAAGUACUCACCUUGGAUACUUACCUCGGAUUUGAACCCUCUCCUCCACGUGUCGYUCGCCUCCUCGAACUGUAAGAUCUCUUAUUAUUAUUAUAUCUCAAGUUCCUCCUUCAGCCUAAGCACUUACCUGGAUACUCACCUCCUUCCCUUUCCCUCCGCAGCCUGGAUCCCCUGUACAUAUCCCUACCACCUGUAAAUAAAAUAACACUUACCUUUUA